rnacentral:lncRNA from 1 species
AGAAAAGAAGAAGGACCCAAAUAAAUAAAAUCAUGAAUGAAAGAGGAGGAAUCACAACCAACAUAGAAGAAAUAAAAGCAGUUCCAAGAACACGUUACGAGUAACCACCUGACAACAGGUUAUGCCUCCGGGAAGCGCUGGACGUCUUCCUGGAGACGCAUAAACUACCAAAAUUGGAACCGGAAGAAAUAGAAAAUGUGAACAGACCCCACAACCAGCAAGGAGAUUGAAGCAGAAAAAAAAAACAAAAAACAAAAAACAAAACAAAACAAAACAAAAACCCGAAAACCUCCCAACAAACAAGAGUCCAGGGCCGGACGGCUUCGCAGGGGAGCUCUAGCAAACACAGAGGAAGUAACACCUGUUCCGCUGAAGCUGUUUCAAAAAACAGAAAUGGAAGGAAAACUUCGAGACUAGUUCUCGGAGCCCAGCGUCACCUUGCUCCCCAGCCCGGCCAGGACCCCGCCAGAGGGGAGGGUUGCAGACCAGUCGCCCUGAUGAACACGGACGCAAACAUUCUCACCAGGGGACCAGCCACCAGGACCCAACGGCACCUUGAGAGGAUUGUCCCCCCGACCGGGUGGGAUUUGUUCCUGGGCUUCGGGGCUGGUCCGACCUCCGGCAGCCGGUCCGGGUGGGCUGGAAGUCGCCUCCUGUGGUGCCCGCGCCCGGACGCCCGGAGCUUAUGGCCGUUUUGAGGUCAUCGCCUGACGGGCCUGUUUGUGUCCCGCCCUGUGGCCGCUGCGGGGCCUGCUGCCGAGCUCGGGGCUCCGAAGCCUGGGCCCCAGACGAGGCCCUGCAAGUGCCCUCGGUGACAAGGGGCGCGGGCGCGUGAGCAGCCUGCUGGCCGAGGGUUUCAGGGAGCCGAGCGAGAACGUGCGUAGGAGCCCUCGGUGCCCACGCUGGGCCUCGGAGUCACGGCGGACUUCACGUAUCAAAUAGGGAUUUUGCCCCAAAUCCUUGUAAUUCAGGGAAGUCCUUCUCAUGGUUUUUCAAAAGACGGUCGGGAAAAGAACUUCGUCUGACAACUUGGGAGGAAGAACAGCAGAUACUUGGCCCUGGAGUUUCCCAUCACCUCCCCACGGUUUGCCUCAUCUGUUUUGUUUUUCUCCUCCGUCAUGACCAUGUCUGAGUGAAUUCUGCAAUCUGCAGCGACAGGAGGGCAGGGCAGCCCCAGGGGAGCCGGUUCCCUCGUCUGGGGGGCGGGUGCCCGCGUGAAGGCCGCCCCUUCCCCAGCCGCAGCACCGGCCCAGCACCCCUCGUCGUUCUUGGAAACCCCGCGGGGGGCUGAGCAGGCCCACGUGCCUCCCACAGAAAAAAAGAACUAGGGGUGGCUGCGCCCCGACAUGGUCGUCCCCUCCUCCACGGUUAGCGACCCUCCGAGGGGCGCUGGGAAAGCCACGUGCGCUUGGCACCUUCCUACUGUUAUGUCGUUUGUUCUUCACAACAAGCCCCUCGAAUGAGGGUGUCGGUUAAGACCCGGGUUCGGCAGCCUGCAGGGGGAAGCCGCGGAAAUGCGGGGGCUCGUGUCCUCCUGCACGAGGAGGAGGUUCCCAGAGACGUUGCACGCGGUGGCCCAGGGACCAGACGGGGUCUCAUCUCCUUGAAGGUCCCAGCAGGGAGGAGGGUGCUGCUUACGGGGGCCCCUGGAAGGCUCCCGAGCGUCUUCCCGCGUCCACGGAGCGCCUCAGAUCUGCGUGCAGUGGGCCUGAGCAGGGCGAGCUUGCAAACCCUUUCACGGGUUUGAGAAGCUGCCACUUGGCCCCAAACGAUGCAGCUAACGAGAAGUGAGUCUAGGGUUCCAAGCCACAGUUCACACCCACGUCUGUCAGACCCCAAGUCUGCUCUUUCAUUGUCCGGAUGUGGACACACGCGUGUGCUCACUCGGGCACAGCACGGCCCACACAGACGAAGUCACUGCCCAAGACUCUGGACGGCCCCACAGAGCAUCACGCGUGGCACAGCCACCCCGAGAGUCUCCGUUUCCAGACUUUGCUCACCGUUGGGCCAGGCAGAUGCUCCGCUUCUGGCCGCUACACGCGGAGGAGCUCGUAAGUCCUCUAAGAUCCCCCUCGUGGCUGAACAAGCGCCGGGGCCCGCCCAGAGAGUCCUGGGAGGCUGGUUCCGGGGCUGCUUGCCCGCAUGACGUCUAUACCCGCAGACCAGGCCACCCCACCUAGUGCUGCGCCUUGGCCGGGCCAGCUGAGGGGGCAACCCCCCGCCCCCGUCAAACCCCGCGGCCUGCUGGGUGCCCAUCCGGCCCAAGAGUACCUGCAGGGACAGGAAGGCUCUGGUAACUUCUGUGAGAUCGCCCAAAGUAUAUUCUUUCUCUCCUUUUCCUGGAACCUCUGGAAAUAAUUGCAGUGCAGCGAACUCCUUUCCACAAAGUCAUUUUAAGAAGUAAAACUCAUAGAAAAAUCUUAUGUAACACGCCCCCCAAACAUUGUAAGUGUGGGUGACCUAGUGACUUCCCCCUGCAGGGCCAUUCACCUCCCCUGCUCUGCUUCCUGCCAUGCUAGCGGGUGAUCCCCAGGGUUGCACCUGCUUCUCCAUCAGGGAUCCAGUUUUCUGAGACCCCACUUCAGGUCCCACCGUGUCCCGGAGCUCGUCCUUGCUAGGCUGGGGGGCUCCCUCCGUCCCACAGCUUCCGCAAAGCUUAGCAGGCCUUUUCGAACUUGAUUAAAGCCACACUCCCCUCCUCUCCGCUAGCGGCCUUGCCUGCACCCUCAGUGCUGGGUCCAGGAGUCACGCGUCACCUGCAGCUGCUGCUUCCCCUGCACCCCUCCCCCACACCAGGCGGCAGCUCCAAGGCUGACGAGGGCGAAGACACUGGCUCCUCUGCUGGCUGCCCAGCCCCAGCUCCCCUCCUCUCGCCAUUGAAUGUGGCAACAUCCUUUUCAGUCUCAAUGGAGUUUUUACAUCUAAUUUCCAGUGUCCCUUUCCUAUAGGGGCAACCACAGCCGGAGCAUGGGCCACAGGUGCUCAGGAAGGGGGGGUUUAGCUAGAGAAUGAAUGGGUGUCACGUGCCAGGAUUCAGCCGAGGGCAGGGAAGGUGCUCCCAGGCCAUGAGACUUCCUAAAUCCUCCAGAACAGCAUGAAAUAAAGCUUUUUGUGUAAAAGUUUUUAAAAGAUUUUUUAAAAUUGUGAACCCCUUCACAAUUUUAAAUUGUGGGGCACCUGGGUGCUCAGUCGGUGAAGCAUCUGACUUCAGCUCAGGUCAUGACCUCAGGGUCCUGGGAUCGAGUCCUCAUCAGACUCCCCACUUAAAUAAAUUCCUUUUAAAAAAAAGUUUACACUUAAAAAUUUUCUGGUCUAUGGUAAAAACUUACAUUUAGAAGUAAAACUGUUGUAUCACUAUUUUAAACGGAUCUAAUGGAUUCUAAAGAAAAUAUUUGAAAUCCAGGAGAAUGUCCCAUUGCUUUCCUCUAUGCUUGAAUUCAUAUUCUCAAUCCCUCCCUAAUACCGUUUUAUCCUAAAGUAAUAAACUUUCAGGGCUUACAAGUUUAUUUGUUUUAUUGAUCACCCCCUCCUAUUUUCUGUGAUGAAAAAAAAAGUAUAAAAUAAAAGUUGAUGUUUGAG